AGAGUUUGAUCAUGGCUCAGAGCGAACGCUGGCGGCGUGCUUAACACAUGCAAGUCGAGUGCGCGUCUGUAGCAAUACAGAUGGCGCACGGCGCACGGGUGCGUAACACGUGGGUAAUCUGCCCUUCGAAGGGGAAUAACUCGCCGAAAGGCGAGCUAAUUCCGCAUAACAUUCCGAGAACCUUGGUUUUUGGAUUCAAAGGCGUAAGUCGUCGGAGGAGGAGCCCGCGCACGAUUAGCUAGUUGGUAGGGUAACGGCCUACCAAGGCUAUGAUCGUUAGCUGGUCUGAGAGGAUGGCCAGCCACACUGGAACUGAGACACGGUCCAGACUCCUACGGGAGGCAGCAGUGGGGAAUCUUGCACAAUGGGCGAAAGCCUGAUGCAGCGACGCCGCGUGGGGGAUGAAGCUUCUCGGAGUGUAAACCCCUUUCGACCCGGACGAAUGCCCCGCAAGGGGACUGACGGUACGGGUAUAAGAAGCCCCGGCUAACUACGUGCCAGCAGCCGCGGUAAGACGUAGGGGGCCAGCGUUGCUCGGAAUUACUGGGUGUAAAGGGUUCGUAGGCGGUGUGGCAAGUCGGGAGUGAAAUCUCUGGGCUCAACCCAGAGUCUGCUUCCGAAACUGCUGUGCUUGAGUGUGGGAGAGGCGCGUGGAAUUGCAGGUGUAGCGGUGAAAUGCGUAGAUAUCUGCAGGAACACCCGUGGCGAAAGCGGCGCGCUGGACCACUACUGACGCUGAGGAACGAAAGCUAGGGGAGCAAACAGGAUUAGAUACCCUGGUAGUCCUAGCCCUAAACGAUCAGGACUUGGGGUGCCACCCGUUCGGGUGUCGUCCCGGAGCUAACGCGUUAAGUCCUGCACCUGGGGAGUACGGUCGCAAGACUGAAACUCAAGGAAUUGACGGGGGCCCGCACAAGCGGUGGAACAUGUGGUUCAAUUCGACGCUACGCGA
rnacentral:rRNA from 1 species